rnacentral:rRNA from 1 species
CCUACGGGGGGCUGCAGUGAGGAAUAUUGGUCAAUGGGCUUACGCCUGAACCAGCCAAGUCGCGUGAGGGAAGACUGCCCUAUGGGUUGUAAACCUCUUUUGUCAGGGAGCAAUUGGCGCUACGUGUAGCGUUAUCGAGAGUACCUGAAGAAAAAGCAUCGGCUAACUCCGUGCCAGCAGCCGCGGUAAUACGGAGGAUGCGAGCGUUAUCCGGAUUUAUUGGGUUUAAAGGGUGCGUAGGCGGAAUGUCAAGUCAGCGGUAAAAUCGCGGGGCUCAACCUCGCUCCGCCGUUGAAACUGGCGGUCUUGAGUGGGCGAGAAGUAUGCGGAAUGCGUGGUGUAGCGGUGAAAUGCAUAGAUAUCACGCAGAACUCCGAUUGCGAAGGCAGCAUACCGGCGCCCAACUGACGCUGAAGCACGAAAGCGUGGGUAUCGAACAGGAUUAGAUACCCUGGUAGUC